AUCAAUUUAAAAUUCAAUUCAAAAUAUAUGGUACUUUCCAAUCAACAAGCAUGCAGAUCUAAUCUAAUCAGAAUUUAAAUUUCAUUCAUAAAAUGAUUUCUUUCAAAAUAACAUAUUCAUUUCGACAGUCAUAAACUAAAUCAAAAUGCCAUUGUACAACUCCUAAUGAUAGGGUAUCAAAAUACCAGCACACUAUCCUCACAAACAAGAUGUCAAAAUAUCAGUGCACAAUCUCCACU
rnacentral:lncRNA from 1 species